GGAUGCACCCCUCUGUCGAUUGCAUCACAUUGGAGCUCCUCCUCUUACAUUGUCUGGUAGGGGCCUGGCAAGGAAGUGUUAACACGAGAAAUGGAGAUCUCCUAUUCCUGACUCCCUCCUGGAACCAGCACGUCACUCCAGGCCCCCAGAGGCAUUGGCCCUCCUGUGAAUUCAACCAAGCGUGGUGUCCCAUAGCAAAUAUGGAAAACGCCUGGAAAAAGCCACCAGAUGGUGCUUCUCCAUGCCAAAUGAAGCUUCUACUUAAAGGGCAGCUGGGAAGCCUCCCGCCUUUUGUUCACAUCCCACUCCUUGUUUUCCUGCAUGAAGGUAACCCCCGGUGGAGAUAGGCACCUGUGAGAAGUAUCACUGCUUCGUGGGUCAGGGGCUUGGACCCACCAGGGCUGUGUCACCUGCGGACCAUGUGAACUCAACUCCCACCCCCCGGCCCCUGCCCAGCCUCCCCUACCAGGCUCGAUGUAAAGUGAUGGUGAAGUGAAAACAGAUUUGGGGCCCUUGCCACCUCUUUCUGGUUGGUAACUUUGUUUCUUGGACAACAAUGCAGAGUUUGAAGCCCAUCCAGGGACAACAUUCCAUCUGCCCCCUGCAAGUUCCGGUGCGGUCUUCGCUAAGAGGCCAAGCAAGAUGAUGUAAUCACCUGAUGAGUUCCUCCUGCCCACUGCACAGACAAAACCAAUUCACUGAGACGACGGCAUUGCAAUAAAGAAAGAGCUUAAUUGACACAAGGUUGGCCACUCCUGUCUCAAAUCAAAUCAAUCUGAAAAUUUGGAGGCUAGGGUUUUUAAAGGAUACUUUGGUGGGCAGGGGGCUGGGGAAUGGGGGCUGCUGAUUGGUUGGGGAUGCAAUCACAGGGUUGUGGAAAUUGGUCCUUGUGCACCAAGUCCACUUCUGGGCGGGCUCCCCAGGACCGGCUGAGCCAAGAGUUGAAGGUCUGGGUGGGGCCAUCCGGUCAUCAGAAAUGCAGGUAAAGACAUCUCAAAAGGCCAAUCUUAGGUUCCACAAUAGUGAAUUGGGACAGUUGCAAAUCUUGUAUCCUCUGGAAUAAUGGCUGGUUGUCAUUUAACUAUGCCUGCGUCUUAGCGAAAUUUAGGCCCCUCUCAUCCUCCUAACCUGGUGGCCUUUCUUUUCUUUUCAUUUUUUUUUAAGAAACAGGUUCUUACUCUGUCCCCCAGGCAGGAAUGCAGUGGUGUGAUCGUGGCUCACUGCAGCUUAAAACUCCUGGGCUCAAGUGAUCCUCCCACUU
rnacentral:lncRNA from 1 species